UUUGAUCCUGGCUCAAAAUGAACGCUGGCGGCGUGCUUAAAACAUGCAAGUCGUACGCAAAAGUAGCAAUACAAGUAGAGGGGCGCACGGGUGAGUAAUAUUUAGGUAGCGAACCUCCUUGCUGGGGAUAACCAGGCGAAAGCUUGGCUAAUACCGAAGGGUCCGAUCGGAACUGCGGUUCUGAUCGGUAAAGCCGUAAGGCGCGAGGAGACCGGCCUAAAUCCCAUUAGCUAGUUGGUAGGGUAACGGCCUACCAAGGCAACGAUGGGUAGCUGGUCUGAAAGGAUGAUCACCCACACUGGAACUGGAACACGGUCCAAACUCCUACGGGAGGCACCAGUUAGGAUUUUUGCGCAAUGGCCGAAAGGCUGACGCACCACCGCCGCGUGG
rnacentral:rRNA from 1 species